rnacentral:tRNA from 1 species
GGUGGCUUAGCUCAGUUGGUAGAGCGUUCGACCGAUAAUCGAAAGGUCCCUGGUUCGAAACCAGGAGUCACCACCA